rnacentral:tRNA from 1 species
GGAUGUGGCACAGUGGUAGAGUGCUUGCCUAACAUGCACGAGGCCCUGAAUUUGAUCCCCAGAACCA